AGCUCCAGUAGCGUAUACUAAAGUUGUUGCAGUUAAAAAGCUCGUAGUUGGAUUUCUGUGCAAAGGUAGACGGCCUGCCCUUCCCUUAGCGGUGGUGGCGGGAACAGUCUCACCUUGCACAUCCUGUCGUGAUCUACUUUGCUCUUAACUGAGCGGAGUCAGGGAGCGACUCAUUUACUUGGAGCAAUUCAAACCGCUCAAAGGAGACUUGUGUCCUGAAUGCUACAGCUUGGAAUAAUAAAAUAGGACUUUGGUCUUAUUUUGUUGGUUGUUCGAAGACCGAAGUAAUGAUUGAUAGGGAUGGUUGGGGGCAUUCGUAUUCUAAAGCGAGUGGUGAAAUACUUGGACCUUUGGAAGACGAACUACUGCGAAAGCAUUUGCCAAGGACAUACCCUUUAAU
rnacentral:rRNA from 1 species